GUGCACCCUCGGCAAAGGCAUGACAAAUCCCUAUGACCAAGAGAGCUAGGAAGAAGCUUUUGUAUCUGUCCAUGAUGGAUUUCCUGUAUCUUCUCCCACUCCUUUUAAGACUGCUGGAGAACAAUAAUUAUACGGAAAUUAUGUCAAACGAAGUUCUGAGCUGCAAGAUUACAGAAAGUGAGUUCGCAGUAACAUUCUUCCGCCAUGUAAGGAUUCAUAAUUUCACAGAUAUGCCGAACAAGAUAGUUUACUUCAUUUUAGGACGAAGAGCAGACUAGUUGCUUUGCGGCCACAGGCAUCAGCAUAUUGGGUUUUAUACAAGUUGGGAACUCGUAGCCAAAUUAGAUGUUUAAAGCUUUGCAUAGUGUGUUGAAAAAGAUAGAGGAUAAGCCAUGGAAGGUCGAAGAUACGGGAUACAUUGUUGUGCAUUGACACUUUGGAAGCAUUAUAGUACAGGGUGAAAACCUGAUAAUAUGACAACUCUGCCGUUGCCAACUUGUAAUUCUAGAUACAGAUAGGGAACUCCGUUCUGGUUGAGAUGGCCGUUGUCUACUUGCAAGUUCUACUUGGAAGUCAUUGUUGAGAUGAGUGUUUGAUACAUAGUUCGGAUAACUAAAACUUUUCUUCCAUUAUCCACGUAUUCUAAUUUUUUUUUUUGCAAAAUAACGUGAGACAGAUAACUAAUUUUAAUUGGAUGAUUUAUGUGUA